rnacentral:tRNA from 1 species
GCAGUGGUGGUUCAGCGGUAGAAUUUUCCCCUUCCAUAAGGGAGACUGGGUUCGAUUCCCACCCAGUGUA